UAUGUACUUCAGUCUGCCAUGGGCUUACCCU
rnacentral:piRNA from 1 species